UUUAGUCCAACAAAUCUCCUAUAAAUGCUGUCUUUCCAUGCUAGAUUCACAUAUCCACCCAACAAAGUUAAUUGGGAAUACAGAAAUUCUGCAUUCUUUCUUUGUUCAAAAACAGAUAUAUUUGCGAGUCUCAAUGGAAUUUAGGAGGGCAUGCACUUUAUUGAUCAUCCUCUUUAUCGUUGUUUCUGUUGCUAAUGAGGUUCGAGUCGAAGCAGCAAGAGUUUUAUCAGAGGAUAUAUCUGGAUCAAAUCACCUCGCUACCUUUCCAGCAAUGUACGAGAAUGCGAAAUUCACCAUGUCUUACUGGCUUGAAAGGUUACCAUCUGGACCUAGCCCCAAAGGACCAGGCCAUUAAUUGAACAUUGGAGGGCAUUUCUUUCAAUAUAGAAGGAAGGAUACUACAAGAAAAUGUAGCAAUGUGGCACCAGUGUGUGCUAUGUAGGGAAGCCGUAAAAACACUUUAUUUUCUAUUUUUCUUCUUGCAUUCUUUCUUUAUUCCUUUGUUGGUUAAUUACAAAGUUUUAUACAAUUUAAAUACGUAAAUGAAAUAAAUUCUAUUUUUUAUUAAUUACUCUGUCUCCUAUAUAUGUUACAAUUAGUGCAUGGUUUCACUGUAGAUGUCGACUAUAUUGUUUAAGAAGGGCAAAAUUUCCAGUUUUCGCCUCCAAUCCCGAAUUAUUGGAAUUUUUUUUCGUGUCGAUGCAAUGAAUAAGUGUAGGCCCAUUAAGCUUUCAUGACAGUAUACGAUGUAGGUUAUGAUUACGUUCCAUCUCCUCUAAGAGAAAAUCCUAAAUAGUUUUGGCUUGACGUCCCAACUAAGUCGUCACUAUAGUUUGGAGAGUACUAUAGGGGAAGAUCUGGCCUAGGUGUGUGCAUACCUUUCGUGACGAAUCAGCGACACUUUGCCAUUUGUACGCAUUAUGAAGAGGUAAUACUUUAUAGCUUUUUAUAUAUAUUUAUGUUCUAUUUCGAUGUGCGUACCACGAUUGAAUCUAGAAAUUCUAACAACGCAUAGGAGAGAUUGGCUAGCUAGCUAGGGUGUUUUUUUUUUUAGUUUUUUAAUUAUGAAUUCAACUCUCUAAUAGCAAUUCGUCCUUCUACGUUUCAAAUGGACAUUCCUCGUGAAGCAUGCUUUGGAUAAUCAACUAUUGUAAUCUGCUUCAAGUAGUGAUUUCGAGUAGGAAGAUCCAGAAAAUCAAAAGUAUCUUAUCUGAUGUAUUAUGACUAUAAACAAGGAUGAGACCAUGUGAAUUUUAGCCUCCAUUUUAAUACCAGUUUAUAAAUAAUUUAUAAAUUCGAUCAAAAUCAAUCAUCAAUUUCAAGUUGUACGUUUAUUAUUACUACUCAUAAUUAUUCGCACGUUUGUGAAAUCGACUACUUUUCCUCUUUUUAAACCAUCUCCAAAUUUACGAAUCCAAGGCUAAUUAGUUUUUAGUUUUAUUGUAAGUUUCUUUUACUUUUAUUUGUUACAUAAAUUUUUCUCCUUGAAGAUGCAUAGAGUUAUUCAAAUAGUUAAAUAUCCCACAUUUUCAUUACGAAAAAAAAUCAGAUUUUUUAGUAGAUUUUGAUAAAAGCUUAAAAUGUGAGGUUGAAAAGUUAAUAAAAUUUAUGAAUCCCAUAAAAUAUAUUUGUAAAAUUGAAUUUGUAAAAAAAAAAAUUUAAUUUUAAAAAUUGGGACAAACAAAGGCUUAAAUAUUCAAAACACGUAACCAUAAGAUAUUGAGUGCACGAUUAAAAUCUCUUCAUUUUCCACGUGUACAUGCAAAAUUUAUGGAAGGGACAAGAAACCAUAAUGGUAACCAAGUUGUCAGCACGAAGCACAUACGUUCAUAUGGGAUGGUUUGUUCACAAACAAAAAUAUACUUUCUCCUAAUGGUUCAAAGAGCGAAUUACAAAAGUCAAGUUAUAUAGAAAUUAUCACAUCACAUCCCCACCUGUCCGAUAUAGAGCCUAUUUGAGCCCGAUUUUUUCAUCCAAAAAAUUGAUUUUUUGACCGUUACUUCAUUAUUCCAACCGUCAUACUUGACUUCUUCUCUCACAGGUAGACCCCACUUUUCUCGUAACAGUCAAAAAAUCAAUUUUCAAAAUCACUCCCAAACAAACUUAUAGUCUAUGUUUGGCUCCCAUUAUUUCAAGAACUCAUAUUUUUUCAGAAAUCAUUUUCUAACACAUUCUCACGUAAAAUAAUAUUACACGUAAAUAAAAAAAAUGAUUCUAAAAUACAUCUUUACCAAAAUUACAUUUUAAUGGAAUCCAAAAAAGGGCAUAAUGUCCAUUUGUCGAUAUGGCGUUAUCAAAUCAACAAGCCAAACCUUUUUUCGCUUGAAAAGUUAGAAAAAAAUAUGGCUUUACUACUAAUGUGAUUACGCCAUAUGGGCAAUUGCUAUCCUAACCACUGUGAGUUGAGCAUGUUUCUAAAGCUAUAAUUGAAUGUUAUAGAAACAUUUUAUGCCUUUUCAAAAGUUACAGAAUCAUCUCUUCAUGUUUAAAUUUUAUUUUUUUUCAUCAAUAAGUUUCCUUGUCAACCAAUAUUAAUUAUGGAAUUCCUAUUUUACCCUUUUUUUGUAUUAUAUUUUUAUACUUUCCGUUUAAUGAAAUUUUAUUACAAUUUUUCCUUGUUCUCUUAUUACUUAGAAAAUUUUUUCCAUGUUUUGAAUAGCUGUACUGCUACAAAUUAAAAGAAAUGACUUGAACAAUUUUUAAAUAAAAUAAAAUUAUAAUUUUUGCAAAUACUAAAAAUAGCUUAUUUGUUUACAAAUAAGUAAAUAGGGGUGAACAUGGUCUAAUUUUCUUGGAAAUCAAAUCAAACUAGACCAUAUGAAGUUAGUUUUAACCAUUAAAAUCUAGUACAUGUGACACGGCAUCUUGAAAAAAUAAAAUUUAAAAUGAUAAAUAUGUCUGCCAUAGUUCUAUAAUAAUAAUUAACUAGUCUCUCGAGACAUAGCCCAAUGAUGUAAAGGACAGAAGUGAGGUUAUCUCACGCCUUACUGACAGUCGCAGUGUGGGGGUUCGAUUCCUGAAACAUGGAAUUGAACUCUUUGUAGGCGCAGUGUACAGUCAGCUCUUGUUCCCUGACCUGUUGGGAUACAUCCCGCGAUUUACCUCCCUCACAAAGCUCUAGAAAUGGGACGGUGAGGACUUUCAAAGUUGGGGUUCAACUUUUUUUUAAUUAACUGAGUGGUUGUUGAGUCCAAUUUGCAAUGCCAACGAGAGUUGAAACUUAUGUUCAUGCUUUGUUCACUUGUGAGUAAAGCCAGUUUGGAAAUAUUUUGAGCACCAAAGUUUAGGUUAUAUUUUCAUUUGAAAGAAAUAUUAUAUGUGGCUGUAAUAAUUUUUAAUUAAUUAGAAACAUUUUUGUCUUUGAUCAUCCAUUCUCUCUCUCUCUCUCUCUCUCUCUCUCUCUCUCUCUCUCUCUCUCUCUCUCCCCCCCCCCCCCCUUAAUAUUUUUUUAUUAAGGAUCAUUUGCACCAACCAAAAAAUUGGAUCGUCUUCCGAAGAUUUAGAGCAUAUAGCAUACAUGAAUGAUGAACUCGUAGAAAGGUCAAACUCUAGGGUUAUACGAUUAAAGUUAAUUUUAAUUAAAUGAAAAUUAGAUUCUCAAUUUAUGUAGAGUGGAAUAUUCAACACACGCGAUCUACAAUAUGAAAGAAGCUAUACUUUUUCCGCGUGUUUUCAAUCUUCCAAAAACUUGGCUGCGGAAUUUAUGGUCACUGUGUACACUAAUUUUCCACAAGUCUUCAAAUUUAUGCCAUUGUACAUGAUUUCAUUAUACUCUAGUCCCUCAAAAUUGGUAAAAUAUUAUUUUCCCACAAUUUUCUUUCUUUUCCUUUUAAUUUGAGUCAAAAUAUAUGACAUUUAUGUUGUUCGUAUGUAAUUUCUCAAGAAUUUCAAUGAAUUAUCAAUCCUUUUAAAAAAUGCAAAAUAGACUUUGUUUAGUAUACGAAUUUAGAUUUCGUUCUUGAUUUUACAAUUUUUAUUUAAUAUUAACAAAUACGUCAUCAGUGAUUUCUAUAAAAAAGAACGAAACACAUUCAGGAGUUGCAGAAUCAGAUGAUGAAAGCAUUUGAAUGAGAAACCCUUUCAAAGUCUACGUUCAAGCUGUUGAACCAAAUACAUAAAUAAUGAAGGGUAAUAUAGUAAUUAAGGGUGCGGUUGGUUUCCAUUUUCAUUUUCAAAAUGAUUUUUAGUUUUCUCCAAAACGGCCCGUUUUCCGCAUUUUGAGCGUUUUCGACAUUUAUAACUGAAAACGCUGAAAACGAUAAAAAGUCGUUUUGCGUUUUCAGUUAUAAAUUUUAACUCAUUUUCGAAAAUGCGUUUCCGAAAACGAAGGACCAAAAGUGUUUUUCGCGUUUUGAAAAACGAAAAAUGGAAAAUGGGCCGAAAACGGCAAAUCAACCAUGGCCUAAAACUCUUAUGGCGAGUCUAUGUGGAGCUUCUCAUGUAACAAAAUUCCCAUUCUAAAUGGCAGUCUAUUCAACACAAAGUACUUGAUGCAUCCAGUCAAUCCAAAAAUUCAAACGUGAGACUUACAUAAUUUUAUGAGUCAAAUAAUUUUAUCCAUACUACCCAAUUUACCCUUGACCGAAUAUAGCCUCCAAUCAAAUUGCGGAAACGUAGUUGACAAGGUCACUUACGGAAUUCCAUACCCUAUGUUGACAAAUUCGUAAUUCCCGCCAUAACACCAGCCUAUCAGAUGAUGCCAUACAAUGAGCAUGAAUGACCUUUUCCAACGUUUCCUUGUUCAACACGUAACCUUACUGCGAUUCAACAAAUGCUGCUUAGUAAAAUUAUUUUUUCAAUUCAAAGUGUUGCAUUAUUCCAACAAAUCUCCUAUAAAUGCUGCAUUUCCGUGCUAGAUUCACAUAUCCACCCCCACAAAGUUAAUUGGGAAUACAAAAAUUCUGCAUUCUUUCUUUGUUCAAGAACAGAUAUUUUUGCGAGUCUCGAUGGAAUUUAAGAGGGCAUGCACUCUAUUGAUCAUCUUCUUUAUCGUUGUUGCUGUCUCUAGUGAGGUCCGAAUCGAGGCAGCAAGAGUUUUAUCGGAGGAUUUAUCCGGCUCGAAUCACCUUGCUACCUUUCCGGCAAUGUACGAGAAGGCGAAAUUCACCAUGUCUUACUGGCUUGAAAGGUUACCAUCUGGAUCUAGCCCCAAAGGACCAGGCCACUAAUUGAACAUUUGGAGGGCAUUUCUUUCAAUAUAAAGGACACUACAAAAAAAUUUAGCAUUGCAGGCACGGCACCGGUGUGUUUUUUAUAUAUAGGGAUGCCAUAAAAACUAUAUUUUUCUAUUUUCCUUCUUGCAUUCUUUCUUUAUUCCUUUGUUGGUUAAUCACAACCAAAUCUUAUACAAUUUAAUUAUGUAAAUGAAAUAAAUGCAUUUUUUUUUAUUAAUUACUCUGUCUCUGUAUACCUUUAGAUGUCAACAAUAUUGUUCAAGAACAGCAGAAUUUUAACUAAACUGAAAGUCUCUUUCUGGUCUAUUGUGAUUGCGUUUCACUUGAUAGAAAGAAAAAACAAAGGAAUGUUGAUAGGGAU
rnacentral:lncRNA from 1 species